rnacentral:rRNA from 1 species
GAGGAGCUGAUCGGGCUCGGCCCGAUCCUCCCACCCUUUGUGUACCUACCUCUGUUGCUUUGGCGGGCCGCGGUCCUCCGCGGCCGCCCCCCUCCCCGGGGGGGUGGCCAGCGCCCGCCAGAGGACCAUCAAACUCCAGUCAGUAAACGAUGCAGUCUGAAAAACAUUUAAUAAACUAAAACUUUCAACAACGGAUCUCUUGGUUCUGGCAUCGAUGAAGAACGCAGCGAAAUGCGAUAAGUAAUGUGAAUUGCAGAAUUCAGUGAAUCAUCGAAUCUUUGAACGCACAUUGCGCCCUUUGGUAUUCCGAAGGGCAUGCCUGUUCGAGCGUCAUUACAACCCUCAAGCUCUGCUUGGUAUUGGGCACCGUCCUUUGCGGGCGCGCCUCAAAGACCUCGGCGGUGGCGUCUUGCCUCAAGCGUAGUAGAACAUACAUCUCGCUUCGGAGCGCAGGGCGUCGCCCGCCGGACGAACCUUCUGAACUUUUCUCAAGGUUGACCUCGGAUCAGGUAGGGAUACCCGCUGAACUUAAGCAUAUCAUAAGACCGAGAGGAA